CUGCCUGGCCCCUUCUGCGAGUCUCUCAUCAGGAGCCAUCCCAACACCUUUGUAGAGAUCCGACGACGUGCGGUGGCGCACAUAGUGGCAGAAACAGAGGUUUCUGAGAAGAGGGGAAGUGCUGCACCACCAAGACCGCGUGGAGGGCAAGGAAAACCACAGCAAGCAAGGGUGCAUGAGGCCAAGGAGGGGAAAAAGGUGCGGGAAAAACCUCGUCCCUACGCGCCAGGCAAAGAGCAGAGCAGGGGGCGUGCGAGGGAGAAUAACGCACCCCCAAGAUACAAUUUCAUGGUGGGAUUGGCGGAUCUCAUCGCCCUUCCUGCUGUAGCAGCAAGACUACGCGUACCAG
rnacentral:lncRNA from 1 species